GCCGACAUAGCUCAAUCGGCAGAGCAGCCGCCUUGUAAGCGGCAGGUUAUGGGUUCGAUUCCCAUUGUCGGCU
rnacentral:tRNA from 2 species